rnacentral:rRNA from 1 species
GACGAACGCUGGCGGCGUGCUUAACACAUGCAAGUCGAACGGAAAGGCCCUGCUUUUGUGGGGUGCUCGAGUGGCGAACGGGUGAGUAACACGUGAGUAACCUGCCCUUGACUUUGGGAUAACUUCAGGAAACUGGGGCUAAUACCGGAUAGGAGCUCCUGCUGCAUGGUGGGGGUUGGAAAGUUUCGGCGGUUGGGGAUGGACUCGCGGCUUAUCAGCUUGUUGGUGGGGUAGUGGCUUACCAAGGCUUUGACGGGUAGCCGGCCUGAGAGGGUGACCGGCAACAUUGGGACUGAGAUACGGCCCAGACUCCUACGGUAGGCAGCAGUGGGGAAUAUUGCACAAUGGGCGGAAGCCUGAUGCAGCAACGCCGCGUGCGGGAUGACGGCCUUCGGGUUGUAAACCGCUUUCGCCUGUGACGAAGCGUGAGUGACGGUAAUGGGUAAAGAAGCACCGGCUAACUACGUG